UUCAAGAAAUACUGACAUCUAAGCAUAGUUGCCUAAAAGAAGGGGGUGUUAGUAAGAGUCAACUGGUGUUUUGUUCACAGACAGGAGCUCAUCAUGCUGACAUUAAAAUGCCAAACAUGCUCCUCCCACUUCACUUCCUCAUAAACCUCUGUGGGGUCAGUCAGGUUAUCUGAUGUCAAAUCCCAGCAGUUUAAAUCCAUAAAUAAAUGUUUCUUACCAAAGAAACAACAUAAUGAUUCAUUUUCUCUUUUUCUGGUGUCUGACAGGUGUCUGUCUGGGAUUCGAGAUCCGUCAGUCUCCCUCUGAGUUCAUCACAGACGUUGGAGCCACAGUGCAGAUUUUCUGCAACCAUGAAAAGACCGACUACACAGUGAUGCUUUGGUACCAGCAGUCACCUGGAGAGACGGCUAUGAAACUCAUUGGGUUUUUAAAUGUCAACACUCCAAAAUUUGAAGAUGAAAAUAACGAUAAUUUUGAAAUCACUGGCGACCUGAGUGCGAUUACAGCAAAAAACGGUUCUCUGAUAGUCAAGAAAGCUCAAGGACAAGAGCACAGUGCAACGUACUAUUGUGUAGCAAGUAAAGCACAAUGA